CCUACGGGCGGCAGCAGUAGGGAAUAUUGCUCAAUGGGGGAAACCCUGAAGCAGCAACGCCGCGUGGAGGAUGAAGGUUUUCGGAUUGUAAACCCCUUUUGUUAGAGAAGAUAAUGACGGUAUCUAACGAAUAAGCACCGGCUAACUACGUGCCAGCAGCCGCGGUAAUACGGAGGGUGCAAGCGUUACUCGGAAUCACUGGGCGUAAAGAGCGCGUAGGCGGGAUAGCAAGUCAGAUGUGAAAUCCUAUGGCUUAACCAUAGAACUGCAUUUGAAACUGUAAUGCUAGAGUAUGGGAGAGGUAGGUGGAAUUCUUGGUGUAGCGGUAAAAUGCGUAGAUAUCAAGAGGAAUACUCAUUGCGAAGGCGACCUGCUAGACCAUAACUGACGCUGAUGCGCGAAAGCGUGGGGAGCAAACAGGAUUAGAUACCCGGGUAGUC
rnacentral:rRNA from 1 species